rnacentral:rRNA from 1 species
AGUGAACGCUGGCGGUAGGCCUAACACAUGCAAGUCGAACGGCAGCACAGUAAGAGCUUGCUCUUACGGGUGGCGAGUGGCGGACGGGUGAGGAAUACAUCGGAAUCUACUUUUUCGUGGGUGAUAACGUAGGGCAACUUACGCUAAUACCGCAUACGACCUACGGGUGAAAGCAGGGGAUCUUCGGACCUUGCGCGAUUGAAUGAGCCGAUGUCGGAUUAGCUAGUUGGCGGGGUAAAGGCCCACCAAGGCGACGAUCCGUAGCUGGUCUGAGAGGAUGAUCAGCCACACUGGAACUGAGACACGGUCCAGACUCCUACGGGAGGCAGCAGUGGGGAAUAUUGGACAAUGGGCGCAAGCCUGAUCCAGCCAUACCGCGUGGGUGAAGAAGGCCUUCGGGUUGUAAAGCCCUUUUGUUGGGAAAGAAAAGCAGCAGGUUAAUACCCCGCUGUUCUGACGGUACCCAAAGAAUAAGCACCGGCUAACUUCGUG